rnacentral:rRNA from 1 species
UAUUGCACAAUGGGGGGAACCCUGAUCCAGCGCCGCCGCGUGAGUGAAGAAGUAUCUCGGUGUGUAAAGCUCUAUCAGCAGGGAAGAAGAAAUGACGGUACCUGAGUAAGAAGCCCCGGCUAACUACGUGCCAGCAGCCGCGGUAAUACGUAGGGGGCAAGCGUUAUCCAGAAUCACUGGGUGUAAAGGGAGAGUAGACGGUGAUGUAAGUCUGGAGUGAAAGGCGGGGGCCCAACCCCCGGACUGCUCUGGAAACUAUGUGACUGGAGUGCAGGAGAGGUGAGCGGAAUUCCUAGUGUAGCGGUGAAAUGCGUAGAUAUUAGGAAGAACACCAGUGGCGAAGGCGGCUCACUGGACUGUAACUGACGUUGAGGCUCGAAAGCGUGGGGAGCAAACAGG